rnacentral:rRNA from 7 species
GCGACCCCAGGUCAGGCGGGAUUACCCGC